rnacentral:rRNA from 1 species
UACGAAGGGGGCUAGCGUUGCUCGGAAUCACUGGGCGUAAAGCGCACGUAGGCGGACUCUUAAGUCGGUGGUGAAAUCCUGGAGCUCAACUCCAGAACUGCCUUCGAUACUGGGAGUCUCGAGUCCGAGAGAGGUGAGUGGAACUGCGAGUGUAGAGGUGAAAUUCGUAGAUAUUCGCAAGAACACCAGUGGCGAAGGCGGCUCACUGGCACGGUACUGACGCUGAGGUGCGAAAGCGUGGGGAGCAAACAGG